AAUCAUUUAGCUAAAUAUUAAGCAUUUGUUUUGAAAACAUUUUAUAGAUAAAAUCUAAUGAUUU
rnacentral:tRNA from 1 species